rnacentral:lncRNA from 1 species
UAGUUGAUUUUUAUUAAAAAAAAAAUGAAUAUUAAACUAAAUACUAUACUUGAUUUUACUGCUCAAAUCUUUUGGAAAGUUUUAUUCUCUUUGCAAGAUCAAAGCAAUUACUUACUUGAUUGAAAAUUUGAUUAUAGAGUCAAAUUCAUUCAAAAAAGGAGAGAGCAUUUUGGUUUCUGAAUUCAAGCUAAUUUUAAGAAGAAAGAAAUAUUUUAAACUUAUUUUGAAUCAAAAGACAACUUUUUAAAAGGG